rnacentral:rRNA from 1 species
GACGGGGGGGGCAAGUGUUCUUCGGAAUGACUGGGCGUAAAGGGCACGUAGGCGGUGAAUCGGGUUGAAAGUGAAAGUCGCCAAAAAGUGGCGGAAUGCUCUCGAAACCAAUUCACUUGAGUGAGACAGAGGAGAGUGGAAUUUCGUGUGUAGGGGUGAAAUCCGUAAAUAUACGAAGGAACGCCAAAAGCGAAGGCAGCUCUCUGGGUCCCUACCGACGCUGGGGUGCGAAAGCAUAGGGAGCGAACAGG